rnacentral:rRNA from 1 species
CACACUUGUAUAAAAGACUGUUCUUGCCAACCUUAAAGCCUAAAUUUCGAUUCAGAUGUCAAAUGCGUUUUUAUGCGUCUUCGUGUUUUAUGCUUUCGUAGUUGCUUUGGUAAUCGGAACUGACAAUUUGCUUAACCUUGAAGGGGCUAUCGCCUCUAUCAUUCUUGCAGGAUGCCAAACUAUUUAUGAUGCAUGGCAUCCUAUUGUGUGUGAGGAACCAAUGAGUAGGAAGUGUAUCAACCUAAGACGCGGCUGUGUAUUUGUUCUGGUUAUCUGUAUCUUAUCAAUUGUGUUUGUUGUAGCAAAAAUUGUUUUACUCAAGUUGAGACGAAGGUGAGACUUUCCCUUUCGAAUUCGACGCGGUUCUCAUUUCGGUUUCAUAUAUAUAUAUAUCUACUGACAUCCAUCAGUCAGGCAUUGUGCUCCAUCUUUGUUAUCGUUGCAGUAAUUAUCAAUACCUCCAUAUGUAUUGAAAUAUGUACAUCUUCCUCUAUCUCAUCAGUGUGCAUAUAAGUAAUCAUAACUGUUUCUGCACUCUUUCAGGUCAUUCUUGAUAUCGUAAUAUGAUGUGAAUGAAACUGCACUGUUCAAUGGCGAGGACUCUAUUAAUCGAAGGUAAAUUUGAACGGGCUAAAGAACGUACGGAGUAUAUAAGCAAUAGAUAGUCUGUGAUUCUACUUCUCCAUGCGCGAACCACGCUUUUGGAGGAACAUCUAAUUAAUGACAGGAUAUAUAUCCUGGUAGGUUUUUUCAUUUACGGGUGGAAGCAAGUUUGAAUUCAAUCAUACGAUAAAUAUAUAGACACAUGCACUAUUCUUAGCCAACAUGGGCCCCGAAAGCAAACGAUCUACACAUGUCCAAGUGUAUAUACGUCCGUUUUAAAAGAGCGGACCUUUAUAUGGCUGAAUAGGUGGAUGUAGCAAUAUUCUCUAAAGAGGUGUGUGUAGUAGUGACAGACAAAUCUGGUUUGCCGAUAGCUGGUUUUCUGCGAAAUAUAUUUUAGUAUAGCCUUUAUUUAAUUAUAAACUGGUACAGCACUUAAAUACCUUUGGGGGGUUAGAAUAUAACUUUAUCAAAAUAUUUAAAACUCGGAAUCAGUAUAUCAUUUAAUAAGGAGUCAGACUUAUUGCGAUAAGGUAGUAAGUCGAAAAGGAAACAACCUAGACUAUUAUAUGUAUGUCCCAAAUAUAUAUAUAUAAUUCUUUAUAAAUGAUACCCGCCUCCAUUGGUGGCGGGUUCAUUCAUAACCCACCAUCAAAGAUGGAGGGAUAUAAAUUAUAUAAUUAUUAAGUGAACAAAAUCUAUAUUAUAAAUGAUAGACAAUCAGUCAGCGGGUUUGACAAUAAUCAUCUGUUAAUGGACAUGUAACAAUGCACUGAUAUGAUAUAGAUAUAUAUCAUUACUUUUAGUAAGAUAUAUAUUUUUCUUAUAAAUAGAGAAAAUAUACGGGUCUAAAUAUAUAACAGAAUAAUAGAUAUGUUAAUUUAACAUAUGGUAGCAGAAUAUAUAAUGUAAAAUUAUAAAGAUAUUGCUGGCUUGAGUAACGAUAGGUAAUAUAAGAUUACCCUCCUAAUUCAUAAGGUUUUACUAUAAAUGAACGGUCCCUAAGAUGAGUAUAGAAAUAUAUAGUUAAUGGGUGAAAGAACAAGAAAAUAAAAAAGAACCGUACUGUAGACCGACACAGGUAUGAUAAAGGAGAAUGAGAUAACUACUAUGAAUGAACUCGGCAAAUUAGCAUAAAGCUUUUAGUCGUGCGACUGUUUACCAAAAACAUAGCUUACUGCAUACUAGUAAUAGUAAGUAUAGUAAGUGAUAUCUGCCCGGUGUAUGCUUAAUAAAUAAUUUAGCUAAAUGGUUAAAUUAUAAAAAGCAUGUUAACGGCGGUCUUAUUGUGAGGAUCCGAAGGUAGCGAAAUUCAUUGACGCAUAAUUGGUGUCCUGCAUGAAUGAUUACACGAUGCGACAACUGUAUCCAUAGUAGACUCAGUGAAAUAGCACUCGCGGUGAAGAUGCCGUGUACCCGUAGGUUGACAAAAAGACCCUAUGCAGCUUUACUAUAUCUUUAUUUUGAUUUAAAUAUUAUAUAUCUCAGUAGAUUAGGUUAUAUUUAUUAUUUUAAAUAAAAUGAGAUACCUAUAUAUAUAAUUCUAGAAUCUAAUUUAUAUGACCCAAUCUAAUAGAUUGGGUUACUUAAGACAGAGUAAAGAAGUUAGUUUCGAUGGGGCGUCGACAUCAGCGAAAGCAUCUGAUGUGUCUAAUAAUAUUUAUAAUUUAUAUUAAAAUAUAAAUUAUUAUAAUUAUUACAUUAAAUUUAUUAUAUAAUAGUAAAUUACGUACAAUAGUAACUAUAUGGUAAAUAGUAUAAAUAAUGUUUAUAUGCAAGGAUAACAACAUAAUUGUGCGAUGAUAAUAACACUAACAAGUGGAAUUAGUACUUACGUAGAGUGUAGUGAACAGGCAUAAUCAAUUGAUAUGGAUGUCGAUAACGGAUUAACCGCGUGAGAGUUGAUAUCGUCAGCGGUGUUUGCCACCUCGAUGUCGUCUAGACUCGUCCUCCUGGUCGCAGCAACUAGGUAGGGUAGGACUGUUCGUCCUCUAAGGAGUUACUUGAGAUGGGUUAAUUACGACGUGAGUCAGUAAUGAUUUUAUCAUCUAUGGGAUUUUUCUUAUCUGUUGCCUCAAGUGUACGAAAGGAUAGUGAGGUGCUUUCCAAUGGUUUUUCGCUUUUUUUAAGCGAAAGGAUAUACAUUUUAGCUAAGAAGGUUGCGGAUAAAUAUUGAAAGCAUCUCAAAUAUUAAGCCCUUCAGAUAAGAUUUAACAUAUUAGACUAAUAUGUUAUAGUAAAUAUAUAUUUAUAUAUAUAUUAAACUAAUUAUUUUUAUUCAUAUACCUACAAUAUAUCAUAUAUAUCUCCU